CGAAUACAUCUCGAUGAUACAUACGUAUCUGUCCCCUCUCAGAAUACAUACACCCUUCCCCUAUGUAUCUGAAUAUCCAUUGAUGUAUCUACACUAGCUAGUAUUAUCUUUUGAUCAGAAGAAUAUCUAUAAAUAAGGAAGAAGCUUAAAGGUUUCAUAGGUAUGCAAGAUGAGCUGCUAACUCGCAAACGGAUCGAUGCUAG
rnacentral:misc_RNA from 1 species